AGAUACCCGAAGAUACCCGAAGAUACCCGAAGUUCAGCGAAGUUAUCCGAAAAUAGCCGAAGGGCACCGAAGUUAUAAAUUGGCGCCAAAAAGUUCAUAAUUUUACGAACCGUGAAAGUGAAGCAGUCACGUUACUCAUUUACAUUAAAUUUAUCAGUUUGUGGAAUAUAUUUAUACAAGUUCGAUACACAAUCGAUAUGUGAUGUGAAAAUAAGUGUUAACGGAAUAAUUUAUUGUUAAAUGUGUAAUAUAAUAAUAAUAAUAGAAAUAUAAUAUCGUAUAAGUGAAUGUGCGUCGUAAUAGAGUACAUCCUUUGUCGUCCUUGAAGAUUCUAUUUUCUUUUUCCAACUUCAAACAGUCGGAGAGGGUCGAAACAAAGUUCAGCAAGUUGAAUUCUAAGAAGCUGAUAUCUAGAUCACCAUCUAUUGAAUGUGGAAAACGGAGGCAAUGAUUGGAAAAAAGUCUGAUGUUUCACUACAUGUUUUUACAUUCUUCUAUGAGGUGGAAUUUCAUGUGGAAUUCACAAUGACUUUUCAUUGAGUCAUAUCACUAUAAUAAGCUUCUUCGUAUCUAAUGAUUAUCUGGAAGAAGAUCAUUUUGAUUUGAUUUGAAAGUCAGUUGAAGAUUAAAAAAUGAAGAAUCAAAGUCAUCUCAAGAUCAAGAUCCAUUUGAAGGUGGGAGUGAAAGUGACAACGAGGAGAAUAACUCGACGUAUAAUCAGCCGUGUACGAAUACGAGCAGUGGUAUAAGUAAUCCAAUAAUCGUGGAACGAAGCCGGCCAGCUAUCUAAGAAGCUUAGUUUUUACACGAGGGUGCUUCCAUCGUGAUAGUAAAUAUCUUACACGUGAUUAGUUUUACGACACGAUUGGAGGAUAAUGCCAUUUGAAAAUAAAAGAGAAAAGAAAGUUUUAAGAAAAAUAAACUUUGGAGUUUUUAAAGAUUGGAAGGAGAUUUAAGAGUUAUUUAAUCGACACAAAAAUCUCACACAUCAUGACAACUGAUAUUGAUUGAAUAUAAAAAAAAAAGCCAAUUUAUCGAAAUCAAAGAAAAUUGAAAUGUGAAAGAACAAUGAAUCGAGGGAAAAAGGAUCCUUUUUCGCCUCUCUUUAAUUCCCCUUCAUACGCACCAACGCGGAGAGAAAGACGUAGAGUGCGUGCACAGCCCCUCAAUCCUCGACAUGAAUUUCAAAAAGCGGUAUAUACGGCACACGAUCAAAGAGUAGCAGUUGUCAGGGUGGCGAGGAGUGGUAGAGGGGAAACCGCAACAUCUCGAGCGUACAGCGGUGGAAGUGAUUCAAGGGUACCGUUGCCGGAUCCACAUGUAUACGCGUACAAACGAUCUGGGACAAAAAAGCGAUAUACGAUGAGGAAUAAAUCGGAGAGAAGAGCUGCGUGUCGAGAGUCUAAGAGCGGGAAUCUAGAUUGUGGGAAUCGCGGCGCGUGACGCGGGAAAAUUCGAUUUUGGAUUCGCGCGGUUUGAUCUCGCGUGGGCGGGAGAAAGUGUAUACUCCGCGGGCAAGAUGCAACUCGACGGAGUGACAGUGGCCUACUGAAGGGGCGAUGCGACGCGCGCCACAAGGGGAACCCCGCGAAAAUUAGAGAUGCGUGCGCAUCGCGCGCCUCCAUCUGAGCCGACGCGUAAAGCUUCGUUCACAAUACGUUUCGCAGUUGAUCUCUGGGAUAGAGAUAAUGUAACCAAUGAGCAAUGCGAAUAGAUCGGAAGGAUCACAUUACAUGACUGGAAUUUAUUUGAUGAUGAAAUUUUCCAAAUAUUUUCAUAUGAGAACUUUAUAAUAAGAACCACUGUUGACAGGAACAAGAAAAUUUGGUAUUUAUUGUCCAUAGAAAUCACGUAAGUACAGAAUUCCAAUAUAUCUCUGCAACAUUUAAAUCCACAUUUCUUUCUCAUCAAUUUUUCAAACAUAUCCAAGUAAAUCCAUACGAAGUUGAAAAUAGAUUCUUCCAUAUAGGUCAGUAAAAAUAUUCGCUAAAAAUAUCGUUCUCUCGAAUCCUCGAUAUAUUCCUUGUCCUUGACAUUCGAUUCUCUCUUGAAUCGUCAAGAAAUUGUAAUUUCUUUAAUCAGUAUAUACGACACGCGUGCCAUCAAAAGUUUAAAAUCUGUCAUGAGAUACGAAUCAAAUCAAAUGGAAGUCAAAUGGUGGAAAUACUCGACCACAUAACGCGUUGUAAAGUUAUUUUCUGGUUCAGCUGGAAAAUCGACAACGUGCCGUGUUCCGAAUCCUGUUUUCCUUGAAUCGAAAUAUAGGGAAAAUUCGAAAUAAUACUGUAAUCUGUUUUCACGCAAUAAACUAUAAAAGUUUACCAAUUGUUCAUCGCGAACGAAAUUUCGCGUAUUCUAUCUUCUUAAUUUCUAUUAAAUAAUAACUAUAGUUAUAAUAAGUAAAAAUAAUAUAAUCUAAAAAUCUUCAAAACUCUUAAUUUGAUUAACUUUUAAACAUUUCAGUAAAAUCUGUAUUGCUAAUGCUUAUAUUUCAUUUACAAAAAUGAAAUAUCAAUUCGUAUUCUUUGAACCCCUUUGAAUUUUUAUAUCCCUUUGAACUUCGUUCAAUGAAAAAGAUAUUCCUACAAUCAACGUAUAAAUCUGUAAAACGGCUUCUGUCGUAAGACGAUGUUCGAAUAAAAAUACGCAGGAAAGAAGAAAAAUAAAUUUUUUUUAGAUUUUAAAAUGAUUUCUCAUUACAACAAUCGAAGCUGAAACAAUAUCGAGAAUAAUUUUCGCAGUUUUCGCAAUGAAUGUCAUUAUUAAAAAAAUAUGAAAUAUCGCUUUCAUAUCGCUAUUCCAUUGUCGUUAUCAGUUUUUUUCAGUUUAUUGCAACGAUAAAAAUAAAACGCGUCGAUACACUGUUUUAAUGGGAAAGUUAUUGAUAUAUCGUUUGUUAAUAUAUAUUGUUGUAUACAAAUUCAGAUAAUGGAUAAAAAAAAUCUACGUAAAUAUUAUUAUUCCAACAGUUUUUUAUAACUAUAGAUACAAUUAUGGAAUGUUUUUAUUAAUCAAAACUAUAAAUAUAAAUAGCAAUAAAUUCAUUAGACCAUCGAUAAAAAUAUUAAUUUUAUCAAUGAUAUAUUUUAUAGAAAUGAUAUCUCGUUAAAAAAUUAAUAAAACGACGAUACCAAUCUUUUCUUAAUAAUAAAAGAUCCAUGAAUUUUUUAAACACAUAUUAUUUAUAUCCAUUUUUUACGAAUCGCAAUUAUUCGAUCUUGCAGGAUAUACGCCUGUAUUUCGAUAUACCUUCCUAUCGUAUCAACUUUUAUAGCGAAGGCGAAACUUUCAAAGAACAAACUUGAACCCGUUUCGAACCUCUCCAAUACCUGGUGCCCACACUUCUUUAAAAAAAAAAUUUAUCAAGAACUUUCUACCGUAGAUUGUAAAAGAUGCUUGGAGAAGUUACAAGAUAUAUAGGUUAUCCCGCACAAUUGAGUAAAGUUAAAUUCUUGGAAUUAUUUUUGCCGGACCAAAUACUAUAACACAAAUAUGUAGAAUAAAUAUUUCCAUGUGUAUAUCAUUUUAUAUACUCGAGCUUAAAAUUUGUUAUCUUAAAAUUUUCAAAUCAUUUAAAUCACAAUCAUUUAAAUCAUAAUUAUUCAUUUUCCAAGUUCUAAAUUUCGUUACUAUCAAAAAAUUGUUUCAUUGUUAUCUUAAUUCUUAUUUCACCCUUUUUUUAAGACAUAAGAGUUACAUCUUUUAAUAAAAAAAAUUAUACUGUUCUAAUAAUAUAACAGACUAAUUACUAAUUGAAAUAUUUAAAUUUUGUGUACGAUGAUCUAUAAGGGAAUGUAUUAUAAAGCAAGAAGAAUGGAUAAAAGCAAAAUUGAGAAAAGUGGAUUAAAAAUCGAUUCGUAAAAUAUUUAUUGAUAAAAUAUUUAUAAUGGUAACUAGUUAUGCGUAUAAAUUCUCGUAUAAUUUAAUCUAUACCAAAAACUGAAUAAAACAAUCUACGAAGAACGCAAUAUCUAUAACACGUUAAACUUGUUUAUCUUUAAACAAAAUCUAAACACGUCCCUUUAUAAAUAAACGCGCUAAUAGUCAAAAGCAAUAUUCUUAAAUAAGAACAGUAAACAACUGCGAUAAAAUUAUAAUAUUUUCGUCUCAUUUUAACUUUAAACAACAGAGCGUUAAAUUGAAAGUGAUUUAGUUUUUCACAAUUUACUAACAAUCAUCCUAAACGAAAAUCGAUUUUUAACAACCAUGUGACAAUUACAAAUAAUUUAAAAAUAUUUAAAUUCCUAAUUUUUAUUACAUUUCGAGAAAAAAAAAUAAAAUAGACGUAUAUAUCUCGAAUUCCCUACAAGAAGAUCGUAUCAGAAAAAAAAAAUUCUAAAUCAUCCAAGGUCGACAUCUCUCACUUUCAAUUUCCUCCAAGAGGACUCUCCAUAUCGACCAAUCUAAUCAAAAGGGGGGAGAAAGGAACGUGAAGUACCGCAAAUACUCCAACGACGAGGAGAGAUCGAGCGGGUGUAACGCGAAUUUUCUAAUCGAAAUAAUAUUCCGAGGCCACAGCAAGUUGGCCACCCCGAGGAACGUACAUCCGAACGACGAAGAUUGCUGAACGUCAGAAGCGACCCUAGGAUGGGAAAGGAAGAGGAGAGAGAAGGGAAUGAUGCUUCCUCGAUGGAGAAAAUUAAUUAAGAUUAAUUUUAAAAAGAUAUCAUUCCCCAAGAAUUCUUAAUUUGCUCAUUAUGAACAUCAUUUUAAAAUACCAAUUUAUAAUAUAAGAUUAAAGAGAAAUAUAAAAUUUAAUAAAUCAAGAACAUGAAAUUAAUUUGAAUUCUAUUCUGUCUCGUGAAAGAUGACAAAGUUUAUAAAAAAAAAACCUAGAACAUCCAGUGUUCUCGUUUCUCGGAAGUGGAAAAUUUUUGCAAGAAGUGUUCCCAACGAAUAAACGUGGAAUUGGUUGUACAGGAUCACGAUUUCAUCGCGACAGGUUGGGACGUGAAAAAUGGGAGAGACAAAAAGAAAACGAGAAGGGAAAAAAGAAGAAAAAACGAGGCGCGAAAUAGAAGGAGGUUUCACAAAACGUUCGAACCUGUAUUCAGGACUCGCGUAUGAAAGUGCUCUCUUUCAUGCAUUCCAACUGACCUCCAGUGGUACUAUUAACGUUAAAAAUGGACUGCGAAUACAACGAUUUUAAACUCACAUCGCGACAGAAUAAAGGAAAAUCACUUUGAUCUGGAAAGUUGCAUUUCCUGCUUUGUGUGUCGUUUUCGUUGCUGAAGAUUCUAAAUUUUUUGAGAUUGUAUGCAGAAGAAAAAAAAACACAUGAAGUUGGUAGAUUAGGAAGAAGCAUAUUAUUGUUCCCAAAAUAUUGCAACUGCUUGACGAAGGAUUCACGAAAGCGCGUAUACAGGAGAUCUCAUUAAAGCGCACAGCUUGACCCCGUAUUAUUAAUUGCACCACACCAAAGGACCCAACGAGAAGAAGAAUCAUAGAAAAAGAAAGACCCAUCAAAAGUGAAAAUGGCUCACUUGUGCACGUCUUCUUGUCGAGUAUGAACGCGAAUUAAGGACUGAAUUGUCUUCUAUGAUUUCGAACACUCUUUUAAGAUAACGAUACACUGUAAAUUCGUGUCGAAAAUGCAAAUCUCACUGAAAGAUUUUAUUAUUUUAUAUUUAUUAUGAUAAAUACAUUUAGAUAUAUAUGAAAGAAAUUGCAUGAUUUGUGAUAUUUUAUGAUUAUGAUUAUUAUGUAUCGUAGAUAUUUUAAAAUUUUUAUAAUACACAUUUAUAAAAAUGGAAUUUAAAUAGAAAUCUAUUUUACUUUUUAAAUAUUAUAGUGUAUAUUUUAUUUUAAAUAUUUUAUGCUUUUUGUAAUUUAUUGUAUUUUGUUCAUUUUUCAUAAAUAUACAAAAUCAAAUUAA